GCUUGUGACUUCUGGAAUUCACAGAAGCAAUGAUAAAGGUUCAAGCGAAGGUAAAUCGUGAAAAAUGAUUAAUAAAGCAGCUUAAAAUGGCAUUAACACUGCAAAUUUAUACCGAAGCUUUAGUCAAGGCGACUACUGAAUGUGCGGUGGAAAGUGUUAAGGACACUGAUAUUAUACAAUUUGUAUGCCAGGACGAGCACAGGCUGCACUUAAUAUGCGAUACAAGUGUGUGUGUGCGUGUGUUUGUGGAUUAGAGAGGACAUAAUGUCCUGCAAAUUGUGCACAUUUUUCAAUUUAAUGAGGUGCUUAUUUUAAAUUUCCACAUGCAUGCACAUCCAGGCAAUAGAGACAAGUCAAACGACCAGAAACUGAGCAUCGAAGGAGGCCAUGCAAGGGGUUGACUGACUCUGUCCAUGGCAUGGCUAUUAAAAUGCUAAAUCGUUGCUGGCCAGAGUUGCAGACGAUGGCCAUAAAUAGCUUCAUUUCUUGCCAGAUUACUCAUACGCCGCGUAGUGCACUACUAACAGAUCAUUAUCAUGCAGCAAGCAAAGACUGCAUCCUUGAGAGCUAUUGCUCUUAUUGCUUACCCGCUAAAUGCCAAACGAAUUAUUCCCAUAAGCAAAAGCAGGAACAUGAAGAAUGUGUUUUGAUAUCAAAUUUUGUGGAGAUUCUCAAGUUUAAAUUGCAAUUGAUGUGUGUUGUUGAAAGCUUCAAGCGUUGACUCGGCUUCGGCUCAAAUGUCAACUAGAGGAAACUUUUUGAUGGUGUUUUACUUAAAUCAAGAAAUGCAAUGUGAUGUGACUGCGACUGAAACUGUGACUAUGACGAUGGCUCAGAGCAUUGUCUGUGUCUUUUGCCUGCCAUUUUGUAUUGUGUCUUGACAAAAAGAGGAAACCAGAGUGCGAGUUGGAAGUCUGUGACGUUGAAGUGUUGCGAGUGCAAAAUGAGCUGAAAAGGUAAUUUAUAAAAGUAGCAGAGCAGCAAAGCAAAAGAAACACUGUGAAACGCCAUUACGACGAGUCUCGACGACUUCUCGCAGCAUGGCCCCAAUUCUCGACUUUUAUUUGGCCGCAAAAAUUCUAAAGUUGAAAGCAAAAAGAUUUCUGAAUGAAGAAAACUUUUCUACAAAUAUUUGUGAAAGUAUUUCG